UGACCAUAGAGGAUCUUUUUUAUUUAUUUCUUCUGUUGCAAUAUAUUCUUUGCUAAUUGUUUUAUCCUUAGUAUCAGUUAUAACUGCAUUGAUUAAAAGUUUAAAAAAAAUUUAUACAAUGAGCGUACAGAAAACUUCCGAUUCCCAGUCUUCAUCCACAGCAUCAUGUCCACCUCAUAAUUACCAAAUUGCAAGGAAUACAAUAAAAUGUAAAAAUCAGAGAUAGAUCCAAUUUCCCAAUCAUGAACAGCUCUAUUGAAAUAAACAUUCCACAAAAGGAACCCACUAGAACAAUCCAGCAACUCAGACACCGAAGCCUCCUUAUUAAGAGCCAAUCCAAAAAGAGAGUGAAAUGUGGUCUCUAUGGCUGAAUCACCACAUCAUAUGUCAUGCCAAAAGUUGAUCAUCGCACCAUCACCAACCUCGAAUUUAAUAAACCAAGUAAAAUCCUCCCAUCCAUUUCUAAUAUACUUCCACAAACCAACACCAUGCACACUUCUCACUUCAUUUGAACACCAACCCCCUCGCAAACUCCCAUAUUUCAAAUCAUUAAUAGUCUUCCAAAAAGACUCCCCUUCUUGGCAUUCUAGAUAGAAUAAAAG